AACGAACGCUGGCGGCAGGCCUAACACAUGCAAGUCGGGCGAGCGGCGGACGGGUGAGCAAUGUAUGGGGAUCUGCCUGAUGGAGGGGGAGAACUACUGGAAACGGUAGCUAAUACUGCAUAACACCAGAUGGACCCUGAGGGGAUUAGCUGCUGGGUAAGGUAACGGCUUACCUAGGCGACGAUCCCUAGCUGGUCUGGGAGGAUGAUCGGCCACACUGGGACUGAGACACGGCCCAGACUCCUACGGGAGGCAGCAGUAGGGAAUCUUGGGCAAUGGGCGAAAGUCUGAUGGAGCCAUGCCGCGUGUAUGAAGAAGGCCUUAGGGUUGUAAAGCACUUUCGGCAGGGAGGCGUUACCCACAGAGAAAGCCCCGGCUAACUCCGUGCCAGCAGCCGCGGUAAUAC
rnacentral:rRNA from 1 species